UCCCUGCUGGCGCAAUGGUAGCGCGCAAGACUUCUAUUAGGCUCAUACCUAUAUAUGAAUCCAUCUUGAGGCUGUAGGUUCGAGCCCUACGUAGGGAG
rnacentral:tRNA from 2 species